rnacentral:rRNA from 1 species
GAUGAACGCUAGCGGCAGGCCUAAUACAUGCAAGUCGAACGAGAUUAAGAGGCUUGCUUCUUAUGAAAGUGGCGCACGGGUGCGUAACGCGUGGGAACCUGGCCUUGGGUGCGGGAUAACGUCGGGAAACUGGCGCUAAUACCGCAUAAUGUCUACUGACCAAAGAUUUAUCGCCCAAGGAUGGGCCCGCGUUGGAUUAGCUAGAUGGUGGGGUAACGGCCUACCAUGGCGACGAUCCAUAGCUGGUUUGAGAGGAUGAUCAGCCACACUGGGACUGAGACACGGCCCAGACUCCUACGGGAGGCAGCAGUGGGGAAUCUUGGACAAUGGGCGAAAGCCUGAUCCAGCAAUGCCGCGUGCAGGAUGAAGGCC